CCUACGGGAGGCAGCAGUGAGGAAUAUUGGUCAAUGGCCGGAAGGCUGAACCAGCCAAGUCGCGUGAGGGACGACUGCCCUAUGGGUUGUAAACCUCUUUUAUAAGGGAAGAAUAAAUGCUACGUGUAGCAUGAUGCCUGUACCUUAUGAAUAAGCAUCGGCUAACUCCGUGCCAGCAGCCGCGGUAAUACGGAGGAUGCGAGCGUUAUCCGGAUUUAUUGGGUUUAAAGGGUGCGUAGGCGGUUUUUUAAGUUAGUGGUAAAACGUCGGGGCUUCACCUUGAUUUGCCAUUAAUACUGUAAGACUCGAGUUCAGACGAGGUAGGCGGAAUGAGUUAAGUAGCGGUGAAAUGCUUAGAUAUAACUUAGAACUCCGAUAGCGAAGGCAGCUUACCAGACUGCGACUGACGCUGAAGCACGAGAGCGUGGGUAGCGAACAGGAUUAGAUACCCCUGUAGUC
rnacentral:rRNA from 1 species